AGUGAACGCUGGCGGUAGGCCUAACACAUGCAAGUCGAACGGCAGCACAGUAAGAGCUUGCUCUUACGGGUGGCGAGUGGCGGACGGGUGAGGAAUACAUCGGAAUCUACUUUUUCGUGGGGGAUAACGUAGGGAAACUUACGCUAAUACCGCAUACGACCUCCGGGUGAAAGCAGGGGAUCUUCGUACCUUGCGCGUUUGAAUGAGCCGAUGUCGGAUUAGCUAGUUGGCGGGGUAAAGGCCCACCAAGGCGACGAUCCGUAGCUGGUCUGAGAGGAUGAUCAGCCACACUGGAACUGAGACACGGUCCAGACUCCUACGGGAGGCAGCAGUGGGGAAUAUUGGACAAUGGGCGCAAGCCUGAUCCAGACAUACCGCGUGGGUGAAGAAGGCCUUCGGGUUGUAAAGCCCUUUUGUUGGGAAAGAAAAGCAGCAGGUUAAUACCCCGCUGUUCUGACGGUACCCAAAGAAUAAGCACCGGCUAACUUCGUG
rnacentral:rRNA from 1 species